rnacentral:rRNA from 1 species
UGGGGAAUAUUGGACAAUGGGCGCAAGCCUGAUCCAGCCAUGCCGCGUGAGUGAUGACGGCCUUAGGGUUGUAAAGCUCUUUCGCUCGCGACGAUAAUGACGGUAGCGAGAGAAGAAGCCCCGGCUAACUUCGUGCCAGCAGCCGCGGUAAUACGAAGGGGGCUAGCGUUGUUCGGAAUUACUGGGCGUAAAGCGCACGUAGGCGGAUUGUUAAGUCGGGGGUGAAAUCCUGAGGCUCAACCUCAGAACUGCCUUCGAUACUGGCAAUCUCGAGUCCGGAAGAGGUUGGUGGAACAGCUAGUGUAGAGGUGAAAUUCGUAGAUAUUAGCUAGAACACCAGUGGCGAAGGCGGCCAACUGGUCCGGUACUGACGCUGAGGUGCGAAAGCGUGGGGAGCAAACA